rnacentral:rRNA from 1 species
UGGGGAAUCUUCCGCAAUGGACGAAAGUCUGACGGAGCAACGCCGCGUGAGUGAAGACGGCCUUCGGGUUGUAAAGCUCUGUUAUCCGGGAAGAACGAUUCGUUUGUGAACAAUGAACGGAAGUGACGGUACCGAAAGAGAAAGCCACGGCUAACUACGUGCCAGCAGCCGCGGUAAUACGUAGGUGGCAAGCGUUGUCCGGAAUUAUUGGGCGUAAAGAGCGCGUAGGCGGUAUGGUAAGUCUGUCUUAGAAGUGCGGGGCUUAACCCCGUGAGGCGACAGAGACUGUCAUACUGGAGUCUCGGAGAGGAACGCGGAAUUCCUAGUGUAGCGGUGAAAUGCGUAGAGAUUAGGAAGAACACCGGUGGCGAAGGCGGCUUUCUGGACGAGCACUGACGCUGAGGCGCGAAAGCGUGGGGAGCGAACAGG